rnacentral:lncRNA from 1 species
CUAAUUUCUCCCCUAAGAGGACGUGUCCUCAGGCUGUUCCUCUGCGUGUGUGUGAAAAACACACUUAGCUGGCUGAGCAGAUCCCGGUGCUAGAUCGGACAGACCAACCUGAGGAGGCCCGUGGAGCCCCGGGGCCUGCAGGAGGGGUCCCGCGGCCAGGAGUGGAGGCCCCCCUCCCGAGGAAGAGGUCCAGGCUGGGGUAGGGAAGAAGGCGGGGCCUGAGGCUGUGCUCGUCGGUGUCCCGGGCUGGGGACGGAAGUUGCUGAAGUACCAUUAGUUUCAGUUUUGUUUCUCUCUCAGGCACCCAGCCGCAGCAGCGUCCAGGCCUCGGGGGUACCCCCACUCCCCAUCCUGGAGGCCAAGGUCAGCUCAGGCUUGGCUAGGCUUCCUGGUCUCAUUUCUCACGGCCCUAGGCACCAGGCAAGCAGGUGGUUCCUCUUGCGUACCUCCGACUGCAUAGCUCAAAAGCAAGUGGCCACACGCCCUGGGAGACCAGAAGAAGAUUUCCUGGCCAUUCAGGUGAGACUCCCAGACCUGGCAGAGUUUGAGGAUGUUGGCGGGGGAGGCAGAACAGUAGGCUGGAGGGACCGUGGAGGCACCCUCUGCCCUCUGAC